AUGAAGACUCCCAUUGAGGUUCUCCUUAAUGAACAACCUGAUUAUACCUUUCUCAAGGUAUUUGGGUGUGCUUGCUGGCCGCAUCUUCGUCCAUAUAACAAGCGCAAGCUUGAGUUUCGUUCUAAGAAGUGUGUUUUCCUUGGCUAUAGUUCUCUUCAUAAAGGUUACAAAUGUCUUCAUGUUCCCACUAAUCGUGUCUAUAUAUCUCGGGACGUCGUGUUUGAUGAGCAUGUUUUUCCCUUUGCCAACCUUCCUGUGUCCACUGUCGAACCACCAUCCCUGCAUUCAUCCUCUGUUGCUUCUGACCAAUUUGAUGAUGUUGCAUACUCUCCUUUGCUGUUACCUAACCAUGGUGCAGGAACC
rnacentral:rRNA from 1 species